UAGGGCGUGGCCGAGAUAGUUAGGCAACUCUCUUACACUGAGUUUACACCCAUGCAAGUUGGGUCGUCCUAA
rnacentral:tRNA from 1 species